rnacentral:rRNA from 1 species
AUAACCGGCGGAAACGGCGACUAAUACCCCAUAUGCUGCGAUGCUGCAUGGCAUUGCAAUGAAAGAUUCAUCGGUGGCGGAUAGGCUCGCGGGACAUUAGCUAGACGGCGGGGCAACGGCCCACCGUGGCGACGAUGUCUAGGGGUUCUGAGAGGAAGACCCCCCACACUGGGACUGAGACACGGCCCAGACUCCUACGGGAGGCAGCAGUGAGGAAUAUUGGUCAAUGGGCGGAAGCCUGAACCAGCCAUGCCGCGCGAAGGACUAAGGCCCUACGGGUCGUAAACUUCUUUAGACGCAGAGCAAUAAGGUCCACGAGUGGACCGAUGAGAGUAUGCGUAGAAUAAGCAUCGGCUAACUCCGUGCCAGCAGCCGCGGUAAUACGGGGGAUGCGAGCGUUAUCCGGAUUCAUUGGGUUUAAAGGGUGCGUAGGCGGCCGAGUAAGUCAGCGGUGAAAGACCGGGGCUCAACCCUGGAAGUGCCGUUGAUACUGUUUGGCUGGAAUGAUCCCGCCGCGGGAGGAAUGAGUGGUGUAGCGGUGAAAUGCAUAGAUAUCACUCAGAACACCGAUUGCGAAGGCAUCUCGCGAGGGGUCAAUUGACGCUGAGGCACGAAAGCGUGGGGAUCGAACAGGAUUAGAUACCCUGGUAGUCCACGCGGU